UCAGAUUGAACGCUGGCGGCAGGCCUAACACAUGCAAGUCGAACGGUAACAGGAAGCAGCUUGCUGCUUYGCUGACGAGUGGCGGACGGGUGAGUAAUGUCUGGGAAACUGCCUGAUGGAGGGGGAUAACUACUGGAAACGGUGGCUAAUACCGCAUAACGUCGCAAGACCAAAGAGGGGGACCUUCGGGCCUCUUGCCAUCAGAUGUGCCCAGAUGGGAUUAGCUUGUUGGUGAGGUAACGGCUCACCAAGGCGACGAUCCCUAGCUGGUCUGAGAGGAUGACCAGCCACACUGGAACUGAGACACGGUCCAGACUCCUACGGGAGGCAGCAGUGGGGAAUAUUGCACAAUGGGCGCAAGCCUGAUGCAGCCAUGCCGCGUGUAUGAAGAAGGCCUUCGGGUUGUAAAGUACUUUCAGCGGGGAGGAAGGUGUUGUGGUUAAUAACCGCAGCAAUUGACGUUACCCGCAGAAGAAGCACCGGCUAACU
rnacentral:rRNA from 1 species